rnacentral:lncRNA from 1 species
GAGUUAAAGAUUAGCAACAGUGUUGAAAAGCAUCAGACUUGACAUCCAUCCAUCCAUCCAUCAUCCAUCCAUCCAUCCAUCAUCCAUCCAUCCAUCAUCCAUCAUCCAUCCAUCCAUCAUCCAUCCAUCAUCCAUCCAUCCAUCCAUCCAUCAUCCAUCCAUCAUCCAUCCAUCCAUCAUCCAUCCAUCUAUCCAUCCAUCCAUCCAUCCAUCCAUCCAUCCAUCAUCCAUCCAUAAUAAUUCCAUUGUCUGCCCCCCUACAUGGCACAGUAG